UACGUAGGGUGCGAGCGUUGUCCGGAAUUAUUGGGCGUAAAGGGCUCGUAGGCGGUCUGUCGCGUCGGGAGUGAAAAUUCAGGGCUUAACCCUGAGCCUGCUUCCGAUACGGGCAGACUAGAGGUAUGCAGGGGGAGAACGGAAUUCCUGGUGUAGCGGUGGAAUGCGCAGAGUAUCAGGAGGAACACCGGUGGCGAAGGCGGUCUCUGGGCAUUACCUGACGCUGAGGAGCGAAAGUGUGGGGAGCGAACAGG
rnacentral:rRNA from 1 species